rnacentral:rRNA from 1 species
GAUGAACGCUGGCGGCGUGCUUAACACAUGCAAGUCGAACGGAAAGGCUCCUGCUUUCAGGGGUACUCGAGUGGCGCACGGGUGAGUAACACGUGUGGGAUCUGCCCUUCACUUCGGGAUAUGCCUGGGAAACUGCGUCUCAUACCGGAUAUGACAAUUGUUUGGAUGCCAUUGUGGAAAGUUUUUUCGGUUUGGGAUGAUCUCUCGGCCUAUCCGCUUGUUGGUGGGGUAAUGGCCUACGAAGGCGUAGACGGGUAGCCGGCCUGAGAGGGGGUACGGCGACAGGGGGACUGAGGGACGGCGCAGAAGGCUACGGGAGGCAGCAGGGGGGAGUAUGGCAGAAUGGGCGCAAGCGUGAGGCAGAGACGUCGCGUGGGGGAUGACGGGCUUCGGGGGGUAAACACAUUUGGAUAGGGACGAAGCGGAAGUGACGGUACCUGGAGAAGAAGCACCGGCUAACUACGUG